rnacentral:rRNA from 1 species
UACGUAGGGGGCAAGCGUUGUUCGGAAUUACUGGGCGUAAAGGGCGCGUAGGCGGCAUGGCAAGUCGGGAGUGAAAGCCCGGGGCUCAACCCCGGAACUGCUUUCGAAACUGCCAAGCUAGAGUGCGGAAGAGGCAACUGGAAUUCCCAGUGUAGCGGUGAAAUGCGUAGAUAUCGGGAAGAACACCGGAGGCGAAGGCGGGUUGCUGGGCCGACACUGACGCUGAUGCGCGAAAGCCAGGGGAGCGAACGGG